UAGCUAUUAGAAACAAUGGUAAAGAACUGUGGGGAUUACGUUCACUUCCAAAUUGCCGAGAGGAAUGUAUUAGGGGAGAUGAUCAAAAUUGUGAAGAAGAAGGCAGAUAUGCAAGUGAGGGAGAAAAUCUUAGUCUUGCUUGACUCUUGGCAAGAAGCUUUUGGUGGGCCUGGAGGAAAGAAUUCUCAAUAUUAUUGGGCAUAUGAUGAAUUAAGGCGUUCUGGAGUAGAAUUUCCCAAGCGUUCAUUAGACACCGUCCCUAUUUUUACACCCCCGGCUUCACAUCAGACCAUGGGUCGUCCUCAACCUGGAUAUGGAAUGCCUAGCAAUGCUUCAAGAAGGCUUGAUGAAACUAUGGCUACAGAAAUUGAGAGUUUGAGGCUGUAAAAGAUGAAGUGAUAGUUGAGCUUGUUAAUAGGUGUCGCACCAACCAGAAAAAGAUGAUGCAGAUGCUCACUUCAACUGGUCAUGCCAGGUUGAUCUAGUGAAGGAUGGGGGACAUACAUAUUUCAUCAGGUUUCUUGAUAGCCAGGAAGCAUAUCCAGAACAGCGUGCAAUGGCUGCAUUUGUUUUGGCUGUAAUUGUGGAUGGUCACAGACGGGGUCAAGGUUCUUCCAUAGUUAAAAAAUUAUAUAGUUUGGAUAAUUAAUGCUAUGAAAUGUCCUUGUUUUACCCUCUAGACAGCAGAGCGGACAUUGUCUUGUUUUCAAUUUUUUGUGUGGAUGGUAGUGUGCCAAUGGAGCUGUCCACUGCCACACA